rnacentral:tRNA from 1 species
GCCGGGGUACCCGAGCCUGGUCAAGGGGGUGGGCUUAAGACCCACUGGCGUAGGCCAUCCUGGGUUCGAAUCCCAGCCCCGGCA